rnacentral:rRNA from 1 species
GAACCGUCCUAACGUUGUUCGGAUUCACUGGGCUUAAAGGGCGCGUAGGCGGGCAAGCAAGUCCGGGGUGAAAUCUUUCGGCUCAACCGGAAAACUGCCUUGGAUACUGCUUGUCUAGAGGGAGGUAGGGGUCUGUGGAACUUCCGGUGGAGCGGUGAAAUGCGUUGAUAUCGGAAGGAACGCCGGUGGCGAAAGCGACGGACUGGACCUCUUCUGACGCUGAGGCGCGAAAGCUAGGGGAGAGAACGGGAUUAGAUACCCCGGUAUUCCUAGCCCUAAACGAUGGGUACUAGGUAGUGGACUUAACAUGGGUUCACUGCCGAAGCAAAAGUGAUAAGUACCCCGCCUGGGGAGUAUGGUCGCAAGGCUGAA